AAAAAGUAGGUGGAGGCGGCGGGUGUAAUAUGGUUGGGGUAAGCGUGUUCCUGGUUGAUUGGGCGUACAGAGCGGUUCGGGGGCCAUACAGGUCUGCUGUGAAAACGCGAGGCUCAACGUAGGGCGGUCGGCGUAAACCGUCUGGCUAGAGUCCGGGAGAGGAGGGUGGAAUUCCUGGGGUAGCGGUGAAAUGCGCAGAUAUCAGGAAGAACACCUAGGGCGAAGGCAGCUCUCUUGGACGGUACUGACGCUGAGACGCGAAAGCGUGGGGAGCGAACAGGAUUAGAUACCCCGGUAGUC
rnacentral:rRNA from 1 species